GUGGGGAAAAUGCCCUCACCUAGAACUGGAAAGGAUGACAGUGCUGCCCUUGCAGGUGGCUGUGAGGAGCAGACCAGACAGUGCAAGCAGAGGACAGGGCCUCGUGAGCCCAGCCCAAGGCUCCUGCUGCCUUCCCAGAAGAGCGAGUCCCUCACACCAUGGGAACAAGGUCUCCAGGGACAGGUGACCUCUGUCUGGCCCUGCAGAGGAAGCACAGCCACUAGAUCUUUCACCAUCACAAAUGUCAUAGAUGCUCAGGCUGCCAUAAUAAAAUACCAUCGGCUGGGUGGUUUAAACAACACAAAGUCAUUCUCUCAGCGCGGAGGCUGAAGGUCGGAGAUCUGAGUGCCAGCCACG
rnacentral:lncRNA from 1 species